UGGAUUCUUCUCAUCAUGUCUUCUCACAAGACUUUCAGAAUCAAGUGGUUUCUGGCCAAGAAACAAAAGCAAAAUCGCCCUAUUCCCCAGUGGAUUCGGAUGAAAACUGGUAACAAAAUCAGGUACAACUCCAAGAGAAGACACUGGAGGAAAACCAAGCUGGGUCUUUAAGGAUUGCUUCAGAUGCCCACAUAUUUAUGCU